CAGAUUGUCCCAUACAUGUUUAUUCUGAAAAUGAAUUGGAAUUUACUCUUUAAUUUCAACAACAUGAUUCAACUUCGGCAGAUUGUCGAAAUGAGUUCAUGAGUGCGUUUGGAUCCUGUUAUUACUUCGGAAAUGUAUCGAUGACGGUUAUUGAAGCAGAGCGUUAUUGUCGAGAACAUGGCGGACAUCUGGUUCACGUCGACUCAGCUCAAGAGAACAACUACAUAAAUUACUAUGCUGUUGCACUAACAUGUAGGUAUCAGAAUUGCAAAAGAAAACACCAUUUGGUUCAUGAGUAAAAAUUGUGUACGUUCAGACAGAUGUUGAAAAGCCGUAUUGGAUUAAAACGAUUAAUCAAAUAUACUUCCGACGUAUAUACCGUCCAAAAAUAAAGGGGGAUUAACAGUGGAAGUGGAAUCACCUCAGUCGUCUCUUCGUCUGUCUGUUCGUGUGUCCAUUCAAUUAACCUUGUUAAAAUGUUUUGCUACAUUUUGUUUGUACAAAGUUCAAACGUGUUUGCUAUUCCUCUAUGUGUAUAAAGUUUUGAUGUGCACAAUUCUGAAUCGGACGGUGUAACUUACUAAAGUUAUGCGUCUUAGUUGACUUUAAAUCCCAGUACCAAUCGUAUGUUCACAAAAAAAACAGAAUACAUUAAAUAACCAUCUUGAACAAAUAAAGAUGACAUAAUGAAAUCACAAAAGAUGUAUAUCUGCUCAUCCGCCUUUCUUUG